GGGGGUUGACAUUUUAAUUUCGCUCAUGGGUGGGGGCCAAAGGGGAGGACAAUAGGUCCCUCCUGUGACGAGACCAAUCUUGCCACAUUGCAUUGGAGAGGUCUGGUUGCUCGCCUGCUGCCUUUGGACUAUGGCCCCCAUGUUAAAAGACUUUGUUUCGCCUGCAGAAAAGCUGUAUUCGUGCUUUUCUGCCGGUUGUUCGGUAGAUUUAAUCUACCGAACAACC